CCUACGGGGCGCAGCAGUGAGGAAUAUUGGUCAAUGGACGAGAGUCUGAACCAGCCAAGUAGCGUGAAGGAUGACUGCCCUAUGGGUUGUAAACUUCUUUUAUAUGGGAAUAAAAUGUUCCACGUGUGGGAUUUUGUAUGUACCAUAUGAAUAAGGAUCGGCUAACUCCGGGCCAGCAGCCGCGGUAAUACGGAGGAUCCGAGCGUUAUCCGGAUUUAUUGGGUUUAAAGGGAGCGUAGGUGGAUUGUUAAGUCAGUUGUGAAAGUUUGCGGCUCAACCGUAAAAUUGCAGUUGAAACUGGCAGUCUUGAGUACAGUAGAGGUGGGCGGAAUUCGUGGUGUAGCGGUGAAAUGCUUAGAUAUCACGAAGAACUCCGAUUGCGAAGGCAGUUCACUGGACUGCAACUGACACUGAGGCUCGAAAGUGUGGGUAUCAAACAGGAUUAGAUACCCCAGUAGUC
rnacentral:rRNA from 1 species